GAUGAAGAACGUAGCGAAAUGCGAUAAGUAAUGUGAAUUGCAGAAUUCAGUGAAUCAUCGAAUCUUUGAACGCACAUUGCGCCCGCGAGUAUUCUCGCGGGCAUGCCUGUCCGAGCGUCAUUUCAACCCUCAGGGCCCGCCUGCUUGCAGGCGCGGCGCUGGCGUUGGGGAUCGGCCCUAACCGGUCGUCCCCCAAAUACAGUGGCGGUCUCGCUGCAGCCUCCCCUGCGUAGUAGCAACACUCGCAUGCGGAGCGCGGCGCGGCCACGCCGUAAAACCCCCGACUUUCUGAACGUUGACCUCGGAUCAGGUAGGAAUACCCGCUGAACUUAAGCAUAUCAAUAAGCGGAGGA
rnacentral:misc_RNA from 1 species